rnacentral:rRNA from 1 species
UACGGGGGGGGCAAGCGUUGUUCGGAAUUCCUGGGCGUAAAGGGCUCGUAGGCGGCCAACUAAGUCAUACGUGAAAUCCCUCGGCUUAACCGGGGAACUGCGUCUGAUACUGGAUGGCUUGAGUUCGGGAGAGGGAUGCGGAAUUCCAGGUGUAGCGGUGAAAUGCGUAGAUAUCUGGAGGAACACCGGUGGCGAAGGCGGCAUCCUGGACCGAUACUGACGCUGAGGAGCGAAAGCCAGGGGAGCAAACGGG